rnacentral:rRNA from 1 species
AACGAACGCUGGCGGCAUGCCUAACACAUGCAAGUCGAACGAGACCUUCGGGUCUAGUGGCGCACGGGUGCGUAACGCGUGGGAACCUGCCCUUAGGUUCGGAAUAACUCCCCGAAAGGGGUGCUAAUACCGGAUAAUGUCUUCGGACCAAAGAUUUAUCGCCUUUGGAUGGGCCCGCGUUGGAUUAGCUAGUUGGUAGGGUAAAAGCCUUCCAAGGCGACGAUCCAUAGCUGGUCUGAGAGGAUGAUCAGCCACACUGGGACUGAGACACGGCCCAGACUCCUACGGGAGGCAGCAGUGGGGAAUAUUGGACAAUGGGCGAAAGCCUGAUCCAGCAAUGCCGCGUGAGUGAUGAAGGCCUUAGGGUUGUAAAGCUCUUUUACCCGGGAUGAUAAUGACAGUACCGGGAGAAUAAGCGCCGGCUAACUCCGUG